AUGAAAGAAUUAGGACCUGGGAAGAGGCAGUCAUGAUCUGGAUGCUUCAGAGGAUCAUCUUGGGAGAUGAUAACUCAUUUCGUACCAUCAGUCAAUGUCUGUAACCACCUGCUUUUGGAGGAGAAUGCCAGGAUGAUGUCACCCAGAGGCUGCAGCUCUUUGCUUCAGCAGCUUUUGAGGAUGUGGUACCACAUGAAUGAGGCUGGAUGAGAAGCUGGAGAAAACCAGCAGGGAGAAGAAAGCAUGUAUGGUCAGCACAGAGUUUAC